CACGCGUCAGUGGUGAAAGAAAGGCAGAAUGAGCUGAAGGACAAGAAGGACCUCCAUGCAGGGCUGCACAAAAUGUGCCCGUCCACACUCCGAAGUGUUUUCCUGCAAAGAACAAAAUAGAUGACUCCACUUUUUAAUAAGGAGCUGCAGGGGAGCGUCUCAGCGACCACAAAGAGGAGGUUGGUGUUUUCUAUCCGCUUGGCGUGGAACAACCUGAGACGACCCGAGAAAGCGAGAGAAGGACUUAGAUGCAGCAUGUGUACGUUGCGGCGGGCGAGGUGAAAUGAAAAAAAAACAUACCGAGAGCAGUUGCCGCAAUCCUGCAGUACGUUGUACGAGUUGGUGGUGUUGGUGAAGAAGAACUGGCUUUGAAUGGUCACACAGCUGCUUGUCUUUAUCUCAAAAGCUUCUGUGAAGAUGUCAUCUGGAAAUAAAAGACAUUUUGCAAAAUGGG